UGGUAGUUGUUGACUGGCAUCUAAGACAGUAGGAGUUCCCUACCAACAGGGAAGGAUGAGGAAACUCCUGGCCAGAAGAGAGAGAACCUAAAUGCCAGAGCAGCAUUGGUCACCAUGGUAGGAGAGGAAACCCGCCAGCAGCAGAGUGCCUGUACUGAUGCCUCAGCCUGGAUAAAGAGCUGUUACCUAAGAAACCAUGGGACACCCCCAACCCUGCCUGGAACGGCAAGGGAAGUGGGAAGGGGAAAGGGCAAGGCCUGAUGCUGUCAGUCACCCAAGGCUUGGCUAAGGCUCACUCUCCUUCUGGAGCCUGUGAGGAUAAAAUACGGACAGUAUGCUGACUGCAGAGAGACCAA